rnacentral:rRNA from 1 species
GAGUUUGAUCCUGGCUCAGGGUGAACGCUGGCGGCGUGCCUAACACAUGCAAGUCGAGCGGGUACCCGCAAGGGUACCAGCGGCGCACGGGUGAGUAACACGUGGGUAAUCUACCCCUCGGAGGGGGAUAACCGGGGGAAACCCCGGCUAAUACCCCAUACGAUCCGGCAACGAAGGUUGCUGGAUGAAAGGGGCGUUUGCUCCGCCGAGGGAUGAGCCCGCGGCCCAUCAGGUAGUUGGUGGGGUAAUGGCCCACCAAGCCUACGACGGGUAGCCGGCCUGAGAGGGUGGUCGGCCACAAGGGCACUGAGACACGGGCCCUACUCCUACGGGAGGCAGCAGUGGGGAAUCUUGGACAAUGGGCGAAAGCCUGAUCCAGCGACGCCGCGUGGGGGAUGAAGCCCUUCGGGGUGUAAACCCCUGUUGCGAGGGAGGAAUAAGGCCUGGAGGAAAUGCCAGGCCGAUGACUGUACCUCGCGAGGAAGCCCCGGCUAACUACGUGCCAGCAGCCGCGGUAAUACGUAGGGGGCGAGCGUUACCCGGAUUCACUGGGCGUAAAGCGGGUGUAGGCGGCUCGGUAAGUCGGGUGUGAAAUCCCACAGCUCAACUGUGGAAUUGCGCCCGAAACUGCUGAGCUUGGGGCCGGUAGAGGGAGACGGAACUGCCGGUGUAGGGGUGAAAUCCGUAGAUAUCGGCAGGAACGCCGGUGGGGAAGCCGGUCUCCUGGGCCGCGCCCGACGCUGAGACCCGAAAGCUAGGGGAGCAAACCGGAUUAGAUACCCUGGUAGUC